rnacentral:lncRNA from 1 species
UUUUUUUUUUUUUUUGAGUCGUGUAAUUUUAGAAGGUGUUCAAGAGGACAGUUGUGCCCUCAGCUUCCUCUCACCUCUACCCCCAGCUCUAUGCCUUUAGUUCUUUGUAUAUUGGCUGAGGCAGUGACACUCAAAUGCUGUCAAAAUGUAUUUUCAGGUGUGGGAAGAGAUAGAAAACCCAAAGCAGAACGUGGAGUGAACAAAAUCAUAAAAAAAGCUCAAUCCCAGUGGAGCCCCAUGUUGCUGCUCUGUACUGGGUGGUCUAGCUAGUAUGACAGUGGGAGGGGGCUCUCAUUAAGACACUCUCUGAUUUUGUUCAUUCACUCAUUUGUCUAAUAAUUUUUGAACUCCUGUUGUGUUUUAAGUACAAUGUUAGACGUAAAACAUAAAACAGUGUGUAAGCAAAGUCCUUGCUCCCUGCAGUUUACAAUCUAAUGGAAAAUUUAAAAUAAGUUAUUCCACAAAUAUAUUUUGAACUCGUUGUGUUAAAUGCUAAAAGGAGAAGUCAAAGGCAUUAUGACAGCAGGAAUACGGUAGAUUCUGGGGGCAAGAACAUGUUCUUUGUGUCAGUGAUAGGGCCACGCUUUAAGAAUGUGCAGCAGCUGGCCAAGUGAGGAAGCAACCCAUGGAGUUCCCAUCACGGUUCAGUGGAAAUGAAUCUGACUAGCAUCCAUGAGAAUGCUGGUUCAAUCCUUGGCCACACUCAGUAGGUUAAGGAUCUGGUGUUGCCAUGAGCUGUGGUGUAGGUUGCAGACAUGGCUCAGAUGCGGUACUGCUAUGGCUGUGGCAUAGGCCAGCGACUACAGGUCUAAUUCAACCCCUAGCCUUGGAACCAACAUAAGCCAAAGGUGUGACCCUAAAACAACCAAAAAAGCUAGACCCCAGUGAUUUGGGGAGGGGAAGUGGAUUUGCUAGGACUAGAUUAUUCUUGGCUUCAAAAGCUACUUCAUCAGCUUAAGUCUGUAUCUUAAGGGUAUAGUUAGGGCUUUAAGUGUUUUAAAUAAAAUCAUAUUUGCAUUUUUAAGGUCAUUCUGGCUUUAAUAUGGAGAGUGGAGCAAAAAUACACGUGCAGUGACCAGAAGGUGUUAUGAUGGUCCAGGUGAUGUCCAGUGAUUGGGUCAAGGGGGUGGCUGGUUGGAAAGAAUGGACAGUAUUAACAUAUGCCAAUGGGCUAAAACAUCCAGACUCAGUCACCUGUUAUAUAAUGAGAGAAUGAAGCCUAGUUUCCUCUACUGUUUAUAAGCAUGGUAUUUAAGCCUCCUUGAUGGAGUGAGCAGUAAGCUAUGACAACAAAAUGAAAGAAACAAACAAAAAGCAAAGGUCAGAUAAAUUGCACAAAUACUUUUCAAAAGUAAGUCUAUUGUUUACUGAGACUUUCUUGUAGAGAUUCUAAUAGCCAUUUAUUUUUUUUUUUUAGUUUUAGUUUUUUGGCUACACCUGUAGCAUGUGGAAGUUCCUAGGCCAGAGAUCAAACCAGCGCCAUAGUUGUGGCAGUGCCACAGCUGCAGCACCACCAGAUCCUUAACUGUCUGCCCCACAUGGGAAUUUCGUCACAUGGCUAUUUAAAAGUCAUUACUAUGACUUGGACCCACUGAUAGUCUCAGGACAUAGGAUAGCAUCGAAGAGGUGACACGAUGCAAAAAAUUCACCCUGACUUUUCAAAAAUCAAUUCGAGGAGGGCUUUGAUAUCCUGUUGAUCUAACCCAAUAGUACUGUAAUUACUGCUAUCGCCCUGCCUAGUACAGACGGUCUUUUCAUAGUUUGAGCAUAAUGUUUUGGUUUCAAAGUUGGUGUGACCUAUAGUUUCUAGGGGUUGUUUUAAUAUGUGGUGUCCACUAGUAUCACUGCAUCAUGAAAUACAUAUCCUGAAUCUCAAAGUUAUGUAAGACAGUCAUCCCUCUUGUCCAUAAUACACACAUCUUUGCCAUUUCUUUUCAUCACAGUAUCAUCUCAUUAUCGAAGCAUUCUGUGUCCCAGGUUAGCUGUGGGCCCUUGUCAACAUGGAUGCAAGUUUUGGCUGCUCUAUUUGCUCCCAUAUAAUAUAUUCUUACGUCUUUAUGAACUCAUGGUGUCUUAUAACACAUGCCAAUAGGUACUCUAAACAUUUUCAUAGGGAGCCAGGAAUUCCUGACUUUCAAUACAGACGUGCCUUUGUCAGUGACCAGUUGUUACUGAAUUCAGUUCAGCUGCUCACUGCUCGAAAGCUAAUGCUGGAGAGAUGAGUGCUGGGAGGAAGGUGGACUCUUGUCCAAAAACCAACUCUGAAGAUUCUGCUUGACCAUGAAAGUUUUUAAAAGGGGGUAUCAUUUGGGGAGAAGGUGAGAGUCUGUUAUCUUCCACGAUGUGCACUUUCUUCUGAUUGGUUGGUGGUGAAGUAGUAGGGCAGAGCUCUAGGAAUCUUGUGUUCAGCCUGAAGUUACCAUCCUCUGCCUGUGUAGGGGCUUUAGUUCCUUUGGAAGAACUGGAAGGUAUUGUGUAUAUUCCUUGAGGAGGAACCAGGACCUGCCCCAGGGCUGUACUGUUGUUUCUUUUGUUUCUUCAUCACCUAAACCCCUUUCCCUGAUAAAUAAUUGUUUGAAUCUGCCCUUUGGAAUUCAGAGAAGAUGAAGGAGGCUGAAUGAAGGCUAUUUUCUGUAAACAAGAAACAGGGGACAUGAAAAGAAUUGAUGCCUGGAAGGCCCUGCAGGUCCUGCUUUGUUUCAUACAAAAAAAACCCCAAAAUUGCACAGGGGAAGUAGAAGGAUCCAUGCUCU